rnacentral:misc_RNA from 1 species
GUAGGUGAACCUGCGGAAGGAUCAUUAUCGAUUCAACGAAGUGCCUGUGAGUUGUGCUGGCCUCUCUCGGGGCAUGUGCACGCUUCAUGGGUCUUCACACAUCCACACCUGUGAACCAAUUGUAGGUCUUUCGGGACCUAUGUCUUCUCAUAACACACUGUAUGUCUAGAAUGUCAUUAUGAUUAUCGUCCGCUUCCUUUGUGGAGUUGGGCUGAUAAGAUAAACAAUAUACAACUUUCAGCAACGGAUCUCUUGGCUCUC